GUGAAACUAGUUGUACCCCCAUAAGCCUCUUAAAUCAUGGGCUUAGGGUUUGCUACAUACAUCCAGUGUGGAAAUAAAAUGCUUCUCGGAUUUUACUGAUUCCAUCAAUCUAGGAUCAUAAGUAUGUAAUCAGCCUGAAGAUUUAUUUCAAUUUCUCCAUUUUCCUAGCAGGAAAAUGCUACAUGUACUUAACUUUACUACACCCUGGAGUGGACAUUUUCCUUGCCUUUCAGUUGCAAAUGUUCCUCAAAAGACAUGAACUUCACAAUAAG